AUGGGAGUUUCCCUGCACGAGCUCUCUUCUCUUUGCCUACUGCCAUCCAUUUAAGACAUGACUUGCUCCUCCUUCCCUUCCACCACGAUUGUGAGGCUUCCCCAGCCAUGUGGAACUGAAACAGGCUGAUAAAACUAUUCAGCUGGAAAACACAUGCUAACAUUCAUGAAAAAGAAGAAUGUCUCAGAGAAUGGAAAGAAGAGCCCAGAGGGCAGAGCUUAGAACCACAGAGAAUCAUUCCCAGGCCUUCAAGCCUAAUCAACAAAUUUCUGACAUUUACCCAUUGGGAUUUCAGAACUGCUACUGACUGAAACAAGCUUUUUUUAAUCCUACAACUGCAAGGAGAUAAAUUCUGCCAACAACCUGUGAAAGCUAAGAAUCAGUUGCUUUCCAGUCAAUCAGAUGCUUCCCAGUCAAUCAGAUGCUUCCCGGAUGAGAAUCAAGUCCCAGCAGACAGCUUGAGUGCAGCCUUGAAGAAGACCCAGCCACAUUGAGCCUAGACUAGCUAUCCACAGAAACUGUGAUAAAUGUGUAGCUUUAAUCCACUAAGUUUGCGGAUUUUGUAUGCAGCACAAAAAAAAUAAUACAUGACUUAUUAUGUAUUUUGUUUGCUUUUGGUUUUUUAUUCUAAUUUCAGAUUCAAAGGGUACAUGUGCAGGUUUGUUACAUGGGUAUAUUACAUAAUGAUGAGGUUUGGGCUUCUAGUUAACCCAUCACUAAAAUAGUGA
rnacentral:lncRNA from 1 species